rnacentral:rRNA from 1 species
UACGGAGGGUGCAAGCGUUAUCCGGAUUCACUGGGUUUAAAGGGUGCGUAGGUGGGUUGGUAAGUCAGUGGUGAAAUCUCCGUGCUUAACAUGGAAACUGCCAUUGAUACUACUGAUCUUGAAUUUUCAGGAGGUAAGCGGAAUAUGUCAUGUAGCGGUGAAAUGCUUAGAUAUGACAUAGAACACCAAUUGCGUAGGCAGCUUACUACAGGAAUAUUGACACUGAUGCACGAAAGCGUGGGGAUCAAACAGG